UGCUAUACCUGUAUAUAUAUAUAUAUAUAUAUAUAUAUAUAUAGCAAGUCCAAAAGCUGGAGCACACUUUUAUAUAAAGGCAACUGCCCAGGUGCUGGUUAAAUUACUAACUUGUAUAUAUCUCCAUACAAACCGCACACAUAGGACUUGUAAGUGAAAAAAAGUGAAAAAUUUAUUCCGACGUUUCGGUUCACAUACAGGAACCUUCCUCAGGUGGGGUACACAGUGCAUAGCAAACAAUACUGAAUUUAAACACAAAAAUGGCGCCAAACAAUCAACCUGUGACAUCAUCAAAAGCGUCAGUGAGUCAUAGUGAGCGUGUAUAAAGAGAUCUAUCCAUGGGGGCUACUUUCCCUUUAAUGUGCAACAAAGGACCACCAAGUGCAGUGUAGGACAACCAUUCGUUACCUCACUUGCCGAGCCGCCAAUUGAACAAGGAGGAGGUGCUGCAUGUAUCGCCCCGAGGAAUAGGCAUCACCCAACCUAGGAUGCACAUAGGCUCAACCCGAAGUUCCACCGUACCUGUCAUCCACCCAAGAUCCCUUCGCAAGGAAGCAGUCCAUACUCGUCAUCAGACUCCUCCGUCCUCAAUGGGCCCAGCUCCAGUCACGGAACUGUCGGCAGACGACCCUCCCCACAUGGUCCAACAAGAGGCCGAAAAAAUCAAUCAAAACGUCACCAUGUAUAACCAAAAAAAUGUACAAAAAAUGCAGAAAAACCAAAAAUCUAAAUAAAGUACAAAAAGUCAAAAAACGA